UACAGAGGGGGCCAGCGUUAUUCGGAAUUAUUGGGCGUAAAGAGCGUGUAGGCGGCCAGGUAGGUCUGCUGUGAAAACUCGAGGCUCAACCUCGAGACGUCGGCGGAAACCAUCUGGCUAGAGUCCGGAAGAGGAGAGUGGAAUUCCUGGUGUAGCGGUGAAAUGCGCAGAUAUCAGGAAGAACACCCGUGGCGAAGGCGGCUCUCUGGGCAACAACUGACGCUGAGACGCGAAAGCGUGGGGAGCGAACAGG
rnacentral:rRNA from 1 species